UACGGGGGGGAGCAAGCGUUGUUCGGAUUUACUGGGCGUAAAGGGCUCGUAGGCGGCCAACUAAGUCGGAUGUGAAAUCCCCAGGCUUAACCUGGGAACUGCAUCCGAUACUGGAUGGCUUGAAUCCGGGAGAGGGAUGCAGAAUUCCAGGUGUAGCGGUGAAAUGCGUAGAUAUCUGGAGGAAUACCGGUGGCGAAGGCGGCAUCCUGGACCGGCAUUGACGCUGAUGAGCGAAAGCUAGGGGAGCAAACGGG
rnacentral:rRNA from 1 species